GGAUCCUGACGGGAAGGAGAAAGAGCUACUAUAGUAAGGGAGUGAUAGGAAUGCCAUUGAGGAGUGGAUCUCGGACUUCGAGAAUGAGAUUGCUAGCUGAGAUGGGAGGGAGCUACUUGGGAGUUUGGCUCCACUCAUUGUUAUCAUUCCACCACCUAUUGCAAUUGCUGCACAGCACCAGUCAGCACCUGGAUCUGUUGAGCCAAGGCAUCAAGUGAAUGUGGAUCUAUCAUGGUCGG
rnacentral:lncRNA from 1 species